GUGUCUGAGCCGAGGAAAAUAUCGAUGGGGAUAGGAAGUCAAGACCAUGGCUAAAAAUAGAACACAACUGAGCAGCCCAUGAGGGCUAAUUAGCUUGCCCUGUCGGCAUUGAAACUUGGACUUGGAACUUCCCGGUGGUCACGGUAUCUUGACGAAACGCACUGUCCUCACCCCCCGAUUUCUGCUAUCAGAGUCGCAGGAUAAAUGAGGUUGUGGCGAGCGGGGACGUCCAAAAUUCUAGGUUGUGACCCAGAGCAUACCCAGUCCCCAUUCCCAACCCCCCGCAUAGGUGUGUACGUGCAUACGUACUUACGUUGUUACCUAUGCAUAGACAGAUACAGUCUGUCUCACUCUAUAUGCCUUUACAUAUUUAUUUAUUUAAGUAAUCUCUCUACCCAACAGGGGGGUCGGACUCCCGACACCGAGGUCAGGAGUUUCACGCUCUCCGGACUGAGCCAGCCAGGUGCCCCUACAAUCUAUAUAUUUUCAGAAAUAAUGUUUAACCUUCCACGCAAAGCGCACUCCGACAUUUUCUCCCUCGGACUGCCCAAUCUGUCCUAGCCUGCCCUAUCCUCGCCCAUCCUAUCCUAUUUCAUACCACUUUAUUUUAUUUUCUAUUUCUUAAUGCAACUCGCAGACCAUUAACAUGAUUUCAUUGGCCGCUACGGCGUUGCAAUCCGCAUUUUGAAAAUCACUGACCUAGUCGUGGAAAGGAAGGUAUCUGCUGCACCUUGUGAAUAUCUAUUGAGUGGCGGACGGUGAAUGAAUGAAAUCAGUUCAGUCCAGCCUGUAAUUAUUUUGUACUCUACUAUUAUGUAUGAUUAUGUGUGCCAGGUACUGGGAUGCAGUUAUGAACACGUUCAGCCCCCUGGCCUUGAGUCCACCUCUCAUCGGGGAAGAGGGAGGUCCUGAGAGGCAGUGACAAGACGGCGUGACCCCUCUUCCACAGAGGUGAGGCAGGUGCCAUGGGUGCACAGCUAAGAAGCCAGUGGCCCUUCCGGGAUGGAAGGUGAGAGAGGGAACAGGGAACCCUCCACCAAGUACAUCAAGGAGCCACCAGAAAAGGGAUGUGAAAUUCGUGAUUUUUUUAAUGUUUAUUUAGUUUUGAGAGAGAGAGGCAGAAAGAGAGGGAGACACAAAAUCCGAAGCAGGCUCCAGGCUCCGAGCUGCCGGCACAGGGCCUGAUGUGGGGCUUGAACCCACGAACCUCGGGCCCACCACCUUUCAGGGCAAUCAUGAGAAGUGACUGCAGAUGUCUGAGCUGGGGAAGAAGUCUUCCAAAACCUCCUCGAGCCAUAAAUAGAGUCUUUCUUUCUUCCUUUUCUUAACCCCCCUUUUUUUUUGUCCUUUAAGGGUAUUGCUUUUCAUAUUUUUACCUCCAGCUGUCUCGAUGGUAUUUCAACCUUUUUUAUAUUUUUCUAAGUCUUGUAUUUAACGUGCCCUGGAAAUGGUCAUCGAAUAUGAAAAAAUCAGAUCUCAAACUUCUGCGUUAGGAACGGAGGGACGCAGAGUCAAGGUUUUUUUGGGGUUUUUUUUUUUGUUUUUUUUCUCUUUUGAGUGCAUGGACUUUUGAUAUAUGGAAUGAAGACGAUUGUGUCUGAUUGCAUCUGUAAUGAACCCUCAUAAUUUUAGAUUAGGGUUAUGUGGACGUCCCAACUAAUGGGCAGUAGAUUGUGUGGAUAUAAUUCUAGCCUAUCAUACUUUUUCUUCAAUAUCAAUUACUUUGAAUGCUUAAAUAUCCAAUUUCCUGAGAUUUUUAUUGUUCCAUUUUCUUGUUAAGUGACCCUCCCUCCUCCCCACGCCCCCAGUUUAAGUUGCUAAAGCAAUGAGCUAUGAGUUCUGGCAGCCUGAAAGGAGCAGGAGUGGAGAGCCCAGGUUCAGUGAGGGAAUGGUGUAUGGUGCGGAGUGUCUGGAAUAUUCUAUGACAAAUGCCGCCAGAGGUUAGAGACUCAGAUCUUUUCCCCAGCGCUCAGACAGAAUUGGAAAAGAGGAAAAAAUAAAGACAGGUUUAAUUAACCUGCCAAAAAGAAAAAAAAAAUCACAGAAUGUCUGUGCGUGAGAUUAAGAGCAAAUCUAAUGAUGAAAGGGAUUGGAAGGGGGGAUGAUUAGGCAUAUUUCCUAUUCAGUCAACUAAUAUCACUGAAUCUCCUUAGAAUCAAGUCAUCAAAUUAUUUUGGCUUUGGGGUUGCCGCAGCACGGAGAACUCCUGCAGGUGGAAUCUGACCGAAAGGAAAAGUCAAGGUCACCAGCCCUCAUCUGCAGUCUCCAGGCAAAUGCACGGCUGGAGACGGAGACAGGACCUUCCCAACCCUCCUUGGGUCCAGGUGGGGCCACAUGCUUGGGUUCGUCAGUGGACAACGAACGGCCGUGAGGGCAGCCAUUUCCAGGACGUGGCCCCGGCAGAGGGGAGAGCCACACGAUGGAAGGCGCCCUGGUGCCCAAACAUGGUGUAGAAGAAUCUUCCAGACCCACCCACCCAGGAAGCGACGUGGGCGGGAGCUGACCUGAAUGGUGUAGGCACCCUGA